AGUGAACGCUGGCGGUAGGCCUAACACAUGCAAGUCGAACGGCAGCACAGUAAGAGCUUGCUCUUACGGGUGGCGAGUGGCGGACGGGUGAGGAAUACAUCGGAAUCUACUUUUUCGUGGGGGAUAACGUAGGGAAACUUACGCUAAUACCGCAUACGACCUACGGGUGAAAGCAGGGGAUCUUCGGACCUUGCGCGAUUGAAUGAGCCGAUGUCGGAUUAGCUAGUUGGGGGGGUAAAGGCCCACCAAGGCGACGAUCCGUAGCUGGUCUGAGAGGGUGAUCCGCCACACUGGAACUGAGACACGGUCCAGACUCCUACGGGAGGCAGCAGUGGGGAAUAUUGGACAAUGGGCGCAAGCCUGAUCCAGCCAUACCGCGUGGGUGAAGAAGGCCUUCGGGUUGUAAAGCCCUUUUGUUGGGAAAGAAAAGCAGCAGGUUAAUACCCCGCUGUUCUGACGGUACCCAAAGAAUAAGCACCAGCUAACUUCGUG
rnacentral:rRNA from 1 species